rnacentral:rRNA from 1 species
CGCCCUUAGAGUUUGAUCAUGGCUCAGGACGAACGCUGGCGGCGUGCCUAAUACAUGCAAGUCGAACGCUCGAGUGCUUGCACUCAAGGAGUGGCGGACGGGUGAGUAACACGUGGGUAACCUGCCCAUCAGAGGGGGAUAACACUUGGAAACAGGUGCUAAUACCGCAUAACAGUCAAACCGCAGGUGUUGAAUGAAAGACGUUCGUGUCGCUGAUGGAUGGACCCGCGGUGCAUUAGCUAGUUGGUGAGGUAACGGCUCACCAAGGCCAUGAUGCAUAGCCGACCUGAGAGGGUGAUCGGCCACACUGGGACUGAGACACGGCCCAGACUCCUACGGGAGGCAGCAGUAGGGAAUCUUCGGCAAUGGACGAAAGUCUGACCGAGCAACGCCGCGUGAGUGAAGAAGGUUUUCGGAUCGUAAAACUCUGUUGUUAGAGAAGAACAAGUGGGAGGUAAUUCCCGCCUUGACGGUAUCUAACCAGAAAGCCACGGCUAACUACGUGCCAGCAGCCGCGGUAAUACGUAGGUGGCAAGCGUUGUCCGGAUUUAUUGGGCGUAAAGCGAGCGCAGGGGUUUCUUAAGUCUGAUGUGAAAGCCCCCGGCUCAACCGGGGGAGGGCAUUGGAAACUGGGAGACUUGAGUGCAGAAGAGGAGAGUGGAAUUCCAUGUGUAGCGGUGAAAUGC